rnacentral:lncRNA from 1 species
UGAAUCUAUUGUCACCAUAGCAGUGGUAUACAACUUUGGACCUAACGGCAGGCCUAGUAACCUUUUGGAAUGGGGGAUCCCCGUUGGCAACAACCAUGGUAGUAGUUGCGAAACUACUGGGCCAGGAGAGGAGCGAAAAUCCACUUGACUGUAAGGAGAGGACAACCUCUUGUUCCUGCUCCUCUUUCUUCGCUUCGGGGACGGAGGUCCUAUGGUAGGUAACAGCAGGCACAAGCAAGUUUAUCAAAGGGGACCAACAUUUCUACUCCUCCACUAAGGAGCCGUUCUUGUGAGAAGCAAGGGAUGUCGUGAAUGGUCGGAGGUCACAGAGAAUUGACCUACUCAUAGAGUGAUCCUAUGAUCGAUACAGGAUAUAGACUAUCUCAUUCUUUAUUCUAUUCUAUUUCUAAAAAAAGGGCNGGAGCAGUCAAAGAAUGAACCAAACCAAAUGAUUGUUCUAGAAUGGCUAUUCCUCACAAUUGCUCCUUGUGAUGCAGCGGAACCAUGGCAAUUAGGAUCUCAAGACGCAGCAACACCUAUAAUGCAAGGAAUAACAGACUUACAUCACGAUGUCUUUUUCUUCGUUAUUCUGAUUUUGGUUUUCGUAUCAUGGAUCUUGGGUCGCGCUUUAUGGCAUUUCCACUAUAAAAAAAAUCCAAUCCCGCAAAGGAUUGUUCAUGGAACUACUAUCGAGAUUCUUCGGACCAUAUUUCCUAGUAUCAUCCUUAUGUUCAUUGCUAUACCAUCAUUUGCUCUGUUAUACUCAAUGGACGAGGUAGUAGUAGAUCCAGCCAUUACUAUAAAAGCUAUUGGACAUCAAUGGUAUCGGAGUGCGCCUCUUCACGAGGGUGAUUAAAGUGCAACGAAAUGCCUUAAAGUUGAAUAUGGUUCGCGAAGCAUCUGGCUUACCGGUAAUCUCCCAUUCCCGCCGUCGAGAGACUUUAAUAACUAUAGCAUGCCAGAAACGGGGAGUUGAGGUGGUUAGACCUAUACCCCGAAAUGCUCCCAGCAUAGGAGCCUAUGGUUCCAUUCUUGUUGUUGCUGGAGGUACACAUCCCUCUUCUCGGUGUGGAACGAUAUACGAGAAAUAGAUGCUCAGCCUGCAAUGUCCGAUAACGGCGCUGAAGUAGUGAAUCUAUCGGCACCAUAGCAGUGGUAUACAACUUUGGACCUAACGGCCGGCCUAGUAACCUUUCGGAAUGGGGGAUCCCCGUUGGCAACAACCACGGUAGUAGUUGCGGAACUACUGGGCCGGGAGAGGAGCGGAAAGCCACUUGACUGUAAGGAGAGGACAACCUCUUGUUCCUGCUCCUCUUUCUUCGCUUCGGGGACGG